UUAAAUUAUUUUUAGAACAUUCGAUUUACCCAAUUGACCUGACCUACAUGCCGAAAUCGAGAUCGCGUGUAGAUCAGAGUUGGGUGUGUGUAAGUAGUGCGUUUAUGAAAGAAAUUGGAAAGUUUUGCACGUGCUCUGCUGAAAGUUAAAUGCGGGAUUACUGUUUUGGAUUUGCCUUAAAUUGCAGGUUUGAUGUUCAAGGACAACACAGAGUGGCCAUCAGAGAACACUGGGUCAAGUUCUACGAGUUAAAUACUGUCAGACGGGGUCCACCUUACCCUACUUGGUCGACAUUGCUUCUACACGUCAUUGUGGCAUGCGGUUAUGAGAGCUGUGAAGAAUUAUACAUAGAGUUUUCUAGGGGAGUAUAUUUUAUUAUAUCUGUAGAUCACUUCUUCCAUAUGUUAUGCAAUCGAAACCAAGGCGGAUCUCAAAAGUCAAGUAUAUUACUUAUUUAAAAUUGAAAGCAGUAUAAGAUGUCAAGAUCGAAAACAUGUACAUUACAUAAUCACUGAAUCGGACGAUUCCAUUGUAACUCAAACUGAUUUCGAACCAGGACAAUGUCCAUGUAUUUUUAUAUUAUAGUAUACAUCUGUGUCUGUGAGCCAUUUAAUGCGGCCAGGUGUAUUGUUUUCAUGUAGGUUGUAUGGUUUUGUUCUUUCAUUUAUCUUUGAUAUACCCCCGCUUUUCGCGAGCCAGUAGGCUUUAUAGAGGUCACGUUUUUUAUGUUAAUGUGGUUGGGCUCUUACAUUUGUACAAACCCUCACGUCUGCGAGCCAUUAGGCUUUAACGCGGUCACAUUUUUGUGAAUUGUGGUGGGUUUUUAUGUUUAUUACCACUGUCUGCGAGCCUUUUGGCUUUAGCGCGGUCACAUUAUUUGUGUGAAUUGUGGUUGUUUGCAUUUGUCAUAUAUCCCACUGUCUGCGUGCCUGUGGGCUUUAGCGCGGUCACAUUUGAUUGAAUGUGCCUGUCACAUUUAAUUGAAUGCGAAUGUAGAUGUGUUUAUUUAACUUAUUUGUGUGUAGUAUUCCCCACUGUCUGCGUGCCUGUGGACUUUAGCGCGGUCACAUUUGAUUGAAGGUGCUUGUCACGUUUAAUUGAAUGGGAAUUGUGGAUGUGCUUAUUUUACUUAUUUGUGUGUAGUAUAUCCCACUGUCUGCGAGCCUGUAUGCUUUAACGUGGUCACAUUUGAUUGAAGGUGUUUGUCACAUUUAGUUGAAUGGGAAUAUAUGUAUCCCGGAAGGGGCAACUUUUUGGGGGGCCCACUGGUCAGCUGGUGCGGAUGGGUAUGACCCAUUUGUAAUCCUUUCUAAAUCACACACCGUGUCGGUCGUUAUAAUUUGGGGUAUGCUAUCAUUGGUUUAUUUGGUGGACCAGCGUUGUUUUACCGGGGUGAUUGGUGGUUUAUUCUAAACUCGUGCUUUUCCGGGAUGGAUCUUUUGUGGAUGUGUGUAUGUUACUUAUUUGUGUGUAGUAUAUCCCACUGUCUGCGAGCCUGUCGGCUUAAACGCGGUCACAUUUGAUUGAAGGUGCUUGUCACAUUUACUUGAAUGUGAAUUGUGGAUGGAUUUAUUAAUUUAAAUAAUGUGUAGUAUAUCCAGCUGUCUGCGAGCCUGUAGACUUUAUGUGGUUGAUUGUGCGUGUUGCAUUUGAUUGAAAGCCAAUAAGUUUGGUUAUUUUGGUGUUUUGUUGGGUGCAGUGUGCCGCAGUGUAUCAGUUACUUCCCUUACUCCGAAUAUGGCUUCUGUGGUUUAAAAUAAACGUUUUGCACUGUGAUUAUUUGUCUCAACCCUGAGGUUAUUAUUUAAUACUGGUGGAAGCUCCAACAUGCCCCCGAAGAACAGGAAGAACAGCGGUGGUCCAGCGACACUGUCAAAGAAGGCGAAAACAGCCUCACAUACAGCCACAAACAGUAUCAACACGAAUGACCCUGCAAUUUUGGCACUAACUGACAAUACCAGAAAUGGGACAGCAAAAACCAGUCGCUGACGCUGACACGCCCGGACUGUACGAGAACCAAUCCCAGGCUGUGAACGAGGUCAAUUCACAGAUUACGAGACAAAUUGGAAACCAAUCCCUGCCUGAUAUUAAUAAGAUAUGGUAACAGUGUCAAGACAAUUAUUUUAACCUAGUCCCUAUGUUCUCGUCAGUUGCUAUUGCAAAGGACCGGUAUACUAAACAAGUAAUAACUUUGUUUUGUGUUAUUCGAAAUUCAUAUACUAAAAUGAUGUGGUUUAUUUGUUUAAAAAAUAAACCGGGUUAUUUUGUUGAAGUUUCGAACUUUUUCGUCUCUAAGCAUAUACCUACGAAAUGUAAACAAUUUAGCUGACAGCGACGAAAUUAUUCGUGAACGGUAUAAUCAUUGCCUUUUACCGCUUCCUUUUCUCUCCAGCGCUGGAGAAACUUUUUGCAAUUUUGUAAUUUAUCGUUAAAAAACCACCCACCGCACCCUGUUUGCUAGGAAUUAUAUGUAUAUUGCUAAUUGUUACGUAUAUUUGCUUUAUGAGUAUUGUAUAAUCUCUAUGCUUUUUGGAUAACUUUGCAAAUCAAAGAUUUAUUUUGCUUGGUCUGUCUUUGCUGUAUAUUUGCAGCGGCAACUCAAUUGUACUGGAGUUCCACUGGCAAUCUGCACGUGCACGCUGUCCAAGGUUCCCACCAUGUACUGAUACUGAUGAGCUGUUACCAUAGCCAAAUCGGGGGUUUACCAACCUUCCUGGGCAAUUUCUGUGACCGUGCCCAGACGAGCGCCCUGUUCCUGCCUCGUCCUACAACAAGCGAGCCAUUACCAUUUACCUGCCUCGUCCUACUACAAGCGAGCCGUUACCAUUUACCUGAUUUUGUGUUGUGAGCCUAUAUGGAAUCUAUAACAAACAUUGGGAAACAAUCUUGACUGUGUGGCCUUUAUAAUUCUAUUACAGCAGAAGAAUGUUCAUUUCUGUGCGUUACGGAGUAUAGCACAGAACGUUAUGUCUAAACAUAAUGCACCGCACAAAACAUGUAUAUAUGCGGUUCGUUCAUGCGUUAUGGUUGUCAUGUGAGUGAGGGUCACUCAGGCGGGCAUAGGCGAGAAUGUGCACGGGGUUUUCAUUGUUUGGUCCAUUCCAAGCAAGACCAGUUAUGUUUCAGUUACACACUGUCCACAGUUACAUGUUAAUAUGUGUUGGUUUCGGGUACAGUUUUCCAGAGUUAUUUUACAUUGGGCAUCGGAUGUUUUCUGAUGAAGUUUUAUCUUUGGUUUUUACCCUGAACUUGAAAGCAACAUUUAAGGAUACAGAAUAGAAGUUACGUAUACCAAUCAUAGUUGUUCUGUGUUAUAUAAUAAAUAGAUCAAACUUGUACUGUCAUGUUAAUCUAUGAUUAUACUUGAUGGUUCUAUAUUACGACAUGUAAUAUUCGUUUAUGUAUGUUUUCAAUAGACUGAUAGCAAGUCUUGCCCAAUGCAAACCUGGACUAUAAUUAAUGAACGCAUCUUUCAUUUGUCUUUGACACUUUGCUUUUGUCAUGGCCUAGAUUUAAAUAUGAGACUGGACUUUAACAACACUCUUGUAACAGAGCUAAAGUUUAAAUGUACCAUUGAAGAUCGCCUAAAUCCAGAUUUGCUAUUAUAGACGUGUGGAAAGUUUUAAGGGUGUGACAAGUAAGCAAAAAUUGGUCAUUACCCAGAGGCCACAACUGAUCUAUGACUGUAUUUAAACAAGAAAAAUCAGUGCCUGAUUUAGAUUUCCUUAGAUAGUUCAAUAAAAACUGAUUUCAUAAGCCUGGUAACAGUUUAACGGUAAUGCUACCAAUGUGUCACACCAGGGCCUUGAAUUUUAAAUCUAGGACAUGCAUGGUCAUUUCUUCAUGAAAGCAGGACACAAAAUUGUAUUUUAAGUCCUUAAUUGACCUGGCUAUAGUUCUCAGAUUAUUAUAAGCUCAAUCAGUAUAUUUAUAUCAUUAUUUAUGCUUUGUGUAUUGUAAACAUAUACACAAUCAUGCAGUUACAUGAUAGCAAUAAAUAAUAUCAAAGCUACCCAUACUAUAAAGGUCAUUGACAAAGCCUAUGGUCAAAAUGUGAACACAUUGAGUGUAAUCGCCCUCUCGUGCCAGCAAAAACAACACGUUGACAGGUUGUCAUUUUUGACAGUUCUACUUUCACUUUCAUUUUGUGAUAUCAAACUAUUAAGAAUUAUGUGGCUGAGAAAAAUAUCGCCAUUGCUUUUUAUGCUCCCGGUAGGGUAGCCUAUAUCAGUUGAACUUUCAGUCAGUCAGUGUGUCAGUCUGUCCGUCCGUCCGAAAACUUUAAUGGCCAUAACUUUUUUAAUAUUGAACAUAGCAACUUGAUAUUUGGCAUACAUCUGCAUCUCAUGGAGCUGCACAUUUUCAGUUGUGAAAAGUGAAGGUGAAGGUCAUCCUUCAAGAUCAAAUGUCAAAUAUAAAGCGUCUGUCUGUCUGUCAGAAAACUUUAACAUUGGCCAUAACUUUUUCAAUAUUGGCGUGCAUGCGUAUCUCAUAGAGCUGCACAUAUUGAUUGGUGAAAGGUCAAGGUCAUCCUUCAAGGUCAAGGUAAAAGGUCAAAUUUUGCAAUAUUGAAGAUAGAAACUCCAUAUUCGGCAUGCAUGUAUAUGUCAUGGAGCUGCACAUUUUGAGUGGUGAAAGGUCAAGGUCAUCCUUCAAGGUCAAAGGUAAAAUAUAUGGGUUCAAAGCUGCGCAGCAGGGGGCAUUGCGUUUCACAAACACAGCUCUUGUUUAAUAUAUUUUCUGCACAUUUCUUCAAAAAACUUACAUCAAUACACGAUUUUCUUCGUUAAUUCAAUCAUUCCUGACAGACCUGUGUACAUAUUUCGCUUACAUUUUGACGCGCGUAGGUAGGACCGCAUUACCGCUUCCGAAAUGUGUAUUAAUACUAUUGCCUUCCAGGAACUUAUCUGAUGUUUGACGGAAAGGGCCGAAAAUGUGCGAGUGUGGGUCAAGUUCCCCACAGGUACUACUUUCCCGUUCCCCCAAUUUUUUUUCCGUACCUUAAAUUUUUCGUACCCAAGUUUUUUUCGUACCCAAUUUUUUUUUCAUCCCCAAUUUUUUGUUCGUACCCAAAAAAAUUUCGGUCCCAAAUGUUUUGGUUCCCAAAUAUUUUUUCGUACCCAAAUUUGUUUUCAUACCCAAAUUUUUUUCGCAAAUUUUUUGUACCAAAUUUUUUUUCCUACCAACAUACACAAUUGUGGUGAUUGUGGUGAUGUAGAUGAACUAAACUUGAUGAUUUUAUAUCCAUCCUCUCAAAAGCAUCGUCACACCAAUACUGUCAGUACUUUGUUUAUAUUAACGUUACUGAGAUUAUUUAGUUUGUUUUGCUUUACCCAGUUAUUUUGAUGCAUUUCCAAAUGACAUGCUUUACUUAAGUCAGAAUAUUUUGUGCUUCUGAUGAAAAGUGUGUUAUUUGUUAUAUGCUUGCUAUACUUGAGCUAUGAAAUUCAACUUUUGUUCACCAGAUGCCAAAGUAUGAGUUUAAUGUUGUAUUCCUCAGUCGUGCCAGCUAGGUGGGACCUCUCCAUUAUUAAAAAUGGGUGGGAAGAUAGCAAGCUAUCUUUUUGGCCAUCUUCUAAAGAAACCUCCACAUUUUACCGAAUAACAUAAUUGUUUAAUCUCCUUAUGUCUAAAGUUAUAUAAUAUAUUGGUGUAUAUAUUGAUAUAUAUUUUGUACUUUUGUUAUAUGAUAAUAACGGUCAGUCAAUGACCAUUUAACCACAGCAUAUGUUUUGUUUGUUACUUCCACCCAGUGCAUACAUGCAAACUAUACGAAAUAUCGUAUCAGUGUGUUUGUUUUUUGCGUUGGGUGAAAGGAAUGGCAAUAAGAUAGACUUUAACCUAUCUACAGAAAAAUCGGAUCAGCUUGGCUAUCUUCCCUGUAAACAAUGACGGAAUGACACGAAGUGUAACGAUCUUUAAUUAUGAGCAUUCAGAUGCCAUGCGGAUGUAAAAAGAGAACAAAGGAUUUUUUUUGUUUUACCCACCUCCCACCCCAAUCUCCUCACAAAUCAGCACUUGCCUGCAGGAAAUAAAUUGUUUUGUUGUACCUAGUACAUGUUGUAAUACCUUUUGGAAGGCCAUUUUUAGCUCGUCUAUUUUUUGAAAAAAAAAUGAGCUAUUGUCAUCACCUUGGCGUCGGCGUCCGGUUAAGUUUUGCGUUUAGGUCCACUUUUCUCAGAAAGUAUCAAUGCUAUUGCAUUCAAACUUGGUACACUUACUUACUAUCAUAAGGGGACUGGGCAGGCAAAGUAAGAUAACUCUGGCGUGCGUUUUGACAGAAUAAUGUGCCAUUUUUAUACUUAGAAAAUUGAAAAUUUUGGUCAAGUUUUGUGUUUAGGUCCAUUUUAUUCCUUAAGUUUCAAAGCUAUUGCUUUCAUACUUGCAACACUUACUAACUAUAAUAAGGGGAAUGUGCAGACAAAGUUAUGUAACUCUGACUGGCAUUUUGACAGAAUAAUGUGCCCUUUUUAUACUUAGAAAAUUGAAAAUUCGGUUAAGUUGUGUGUUUAGGUCCACUUUAUUCCUACAGUAUCAAAGCUAUUGCUUUCAUACUUGCAACACUUAUUAACUAUCAUAAGGGGACUGUUCAGGCAAAGUUAUGUAACUCUGACUGGCAUUUGGAUGGAAUUAUGGGCCCUUUAUACUUAGAAAAUUGAAAAUUUUGUUUAAUUUUGUGUUUUGGUCCACUUUACCCCUAAAGUAUCAUAGAUAUUGCUUUCAUACUUGGAACACUCGCAAACUAUCAUAAGGGUACAUUAAAAGGACAAGUUGCAUAACUCUGGUGUCAUUUUUACGGAGUUAUGGCCCUUUUUUGACUUAGUAACUUUGAAUAUAUGGUUAAAUUUUGUGUUUCGAUCCACUUUACUUCUAAAGUAUCAAGGCUAUUGCUUUCAAACUUCAAAUACGUUCAUGCUAUCAUGAGGUUACUGUACCUGGCAAGUUGAAUUUUACCUUGACCUUUGAAUGACCUUGACUCUCAAGGUCAAAUUAUUAAAUUUUGCUAAAAUUGCCAUAACUUAUUUAUUUAUGAUUAGAUUUGAUUGAUACUUUGACAAAACUACUCUUACCUGACAUACCACAAUACUCUACCCAAACCAUACCCCGUGCCCCCCCCCGAA